GAUGAACGCUGGCGGCGUGCUUAACACAUGCAAGUCGAACGAGAAGUGAAGACGGAAACCUUCGGGCGGAAGGCUUUAUUUCGAGUGGCGGCCGGGUGAGUAACGCGUGGGUAACCUGCCUCAUACAGGGGGAUAACAGUUGGAAACGACUGUUAAUACCGCAUAAGACCACAGCACCGCAUGGUGCGGUGGUAAAAACUCCGGUGGUAUGAGAUGGACCCGCGUUCGAUUAGCCAGUUGGCGGGGUAACGGCCCACCACAGCGACGAUCGAUAGCCGAUCUGAGAGGAUGACCGGCGACAUUGGGACUGAGACACGGCCCAAACUCCUACGGGAGGCAGCAGUGGGGAAUAGUGCACAAUGGGGGAAACCCUGAUGCAGCGACGCCGCGUGAGUGAAGAAGUAUUUCGGUAUGUAAAGCUCUAUCAGCAGGGAAGAAAAUGACGGUACCUGAGUAAGAAGCCCCGGCUAACUACGUG
rnacentral:rRNA from 1 species